GUCGGCUCAGGGGCUUUUGGGGAGCUGUAGGUGGUUCCAAGGGUUGGGCUGUUCGCCCAUUAAUGCGGUACGUGAGCUGGGUUCAGAACGUCGUGAGACAGUUC
rnacentral:rRNA from 1 species